rnacentral:rRNA from 1 species
UUUAAGGUUGACCUCGGAUCAGGUAGGGAUACCCGCUGAACUUAAGCAUAUCAAUAAGCGGAGGAAAAGAAACCAACCGGGAUUGCCUCAGUAACGGCGAGUGAAGCGGCAAGAGCUCAAAUUUGAAAUCUGGCCCCCUCGGGGUCCGAGUUGUAAUUUGCAGAGGAUGCUUCGGAUGCGGCCCCUGUCUAAGUGCCCUGGAACGGGCCGUCGGAGAGGGUGAGAAU